GUCCCAAAAUUCUUGUCUUAGAUUUGUCUAGAUACGGAUGUAUCAAGUCACAUUUUAGUAUUAGAUACAUCUGUAUCUAGACAAAUCUAAGACAAGAAAUUUGGGAC
rnacentral:pre_miRNA from 1 species